rnacentral:rRNA from 1 species
GAUGAACGCUAGCGACAGGCCUAACACAUGCAAGUCGAGGGGCAGCAUGAAAUUAGCUUGCUAAUUUUGAUGGCGACCGGCGCACGGGUGAGUAACACGUAUGCAACCUGCCUGUAAGCGGGGGAUAACCCGGAGAAAUUCGGACUAAUACCGCAUACUAUCAUUGAUUCGCAUGAUUCAAUUAUUAAAAAUUUAUUGCUUACAGAUGGGGAUGCGUAUGAUUAGCUAGUUGGCGGGGUAACGGCCCACCAAGGCGACGAUCAUUAGGGGUUCUGAGAGGAAGGUCCCCCACAUUGGAACUGAGACACGGUCCAAACUCCUACGGGAGGCUGCAGUGAGGAAUAUUGGUCAAUGGACGCGAGUCUGAACCAGCCAUGUCGCGUGAAGGAUGACUGUCCUAUGGAUUGUAAACUUCUUUUAUAUGGGGAUAAAGUGUGAGACUUGUCUCAUUUUGCAUGUACCAUAUGAAUAAGCAUCGGCUAACUCCGUGCCAGCCGCCGCGGUAAAAC